rnacentral:rRNA from 1 species
GAUGAACGCUGGCGGCGGGCCUAAUACAUGCAAGUCGAGCGAACAGAUGAGGAGCUUGCGCCUCUGACGGUAGCGGCGGGCGGGUGAGUAACACGUGGAUAAGCUACCUAUAUGACGGGGAGAACUACGGGAAACCGGAGCUAAUAACAGCGAAUAUGUUGAACCGCAGGGUGCAAGAGUGAUAGACGGUUUUGGUGAUACAUAUAGAUGGAGCCGCGCCGGAUUAGCUAGUUGGUAAGGUAACGGCCUACCAAGGCAACGAUGCGUAGCCGACCUGAGAGGGUGAUCGGCCACACUGGAACUGAGACACGGUCCAGACUCCUACGGGAGGCAGCAGUAGGGAAUCUUCCGCAAUGGGCGCAAGCCUGACCCAGCCACGCCGCGUGAGUGAUGAAGGUCUUCGGAUUGUAAAACUCUGUUGUUAGGGAAGAAAAAAUGUGUAAGUAACUCUGCACGUCUUGACGGUACCCAAUCAGAAAGCCACGGCUAACUUCGUG